ACACUUUGGGUUUGUAAUAUCUAUUAAAUACACAAAAUAAGGUGAAUGCACUUUUGUUAUCUGAAUUCCAAUUUAUGUGCAUUGUGCAAAAACGUUACUUCUCUUUAACUCUGGAGUAGAGUUUUUUUUUUUUUUUUUUUUUUUUUUCCAGUGCAGUUCAGGGAAAGGUGGAAAAUACCUUUCACUGAUAGCUGCCAUUUACUUAGCCAUGUUGGCUAAUUAAAGGUCCCAUGGUGAUUAUAGCCAGGACAUUUGAUUUUUCAAAGUAUUUCAGAGCUGCAUUUAAAAUGCUGCAGCUGAUAUUCUGUUUUGCCAUAAUGUAUCAAAGACAUCCUCUUCUUUUACCUCUUUCUUUUUUGGUUGGUUGUUUGGUUGGUUUGUUUUAUUUUACUACUUUGGAUUUUUAAUCCAGCAUUACGUAUUCACGUGCAUCUGUGUCCAUUGCAGUUGUCUUAUGGAUAAAGCCAAACUUUCAAAGAUGAUGCAGAAUAGGAAUACCUGGGAUCUUACCUGUUUUUAGUUCCAAGUCAAUUGUUUGGCUCCAGAGAUAAACUUAAAUAAUUGUUUCAGUCUGAAAUUCAGAUAUAAUUUGCAGAAGGCACUAGACAGCAGACAGCAAAAUUAAGAGUGUUAUACUGAUCAGCAUCUCUGAUCUGUCCAUUUAGUGUUCUCUUUACAAAACUCACGUAAAACUAAAAUACAGGAUAUUUUAUCAAGCGACAACAUUCACUUGCUCCUAACUUAUGAAUUACUCAGUUAAAAUGUUGAUACUAUGACAUUUGGUACUGUUUACAUUUUCAGAGUAAAUGCCACAUGAGAGAAUGGAGGACACUAGGCCUAGGGAGCCACACACAACACACUCACCUACCCACCUACCUUACUCUGGCACGGGGGGUGGAGUUUAAGCUGUCUUGUUCUUAACAGUCGGUCUGCCACACGCUUCCUUUGUGACAUAAGACAAGUUAUUUAGGCCUCUGUUAUCAAAAGUGUCUAAAAAUUUUUAAUGCUUCCAUUUUUGGGUGCUUUACUUGAGGCCCACGGGGUCUGAUUUUUGAGAAGUACUCACUACCCUCAGUAUCUUGUGAGAAUCAGGCCUCAAAUUGGACACCCACAAUAAUUGGAAACUGAUUGCAAGAUUGGCCCUUAAACCUCUCUGUACCUCAAUUUCCCAUUCUUUAAAAUAGGAAUAAUGCUUCCUUACUGCACAGGUCUGUUGUAAGGUUAAGUUAAUGAAUGAUUUGAGGUGUUCAGAUACUGUGGUGAUGAGUAUAGGAAAGCCCAUGAGUUAAAUACAACAAAGAACAUGUCACAGAACAGCUUAGAAUGGGCAUUCCUAGACAGGAUGGGACCUAGCUAUGUCUCAUCCCAGCCUGCAUGUAUUGACAAUGGACAGAGGCCAGCAGUGGGUGGAAUUAAACUGCAUCUUUUCUAAAUGACUAGCAAGGGCCAUUCCUGCUUCUGCCUGAGGGGGAGGUACAGUAACUCCAGCCGCUCCUACUCAGAUGUUGCAUCUCCAUCUCACUCCGCUACCUCCUCCGUAUGGCUCCGGGGCCAAGAGCUUUACCUGAACCCUGUGAGAUUGAUCAUCUUGGGUCAGUAGGACAGGAGGAGACUUGGAGGAGUAAAUAAUUAUUACAAAUGCAAUCUAGUGGUAACACCAUCAGGCAUAUCCUCUUUAUUAUAGAAGCAUUUAAUUAAAUAGGAGAAUAAAUGAAUACCAGGGGUGAGUGAAAUACCUUUUUGUCUUGCUGUCUGAUUUUAAAAUUUAGUGUGUAAGUGAAAGGUUAUAAACUUAAGUCAUUGGACCAGAAUCUGCUCUCACAUUAGUAGGGGCCUACCAGUUUCACAGCCGUGUAAAACAUGUAAUGAACCGUGAAAUAAGCCCUUCCCAUGAAAUCUGAUCUCCCCGAAAUCAGCCGGGCUGGGGAGGGACAGGACCUGUCCUUCCCCUGCAUGGCUGUUAUGAGGGGAGAUCAGACCCACCUCCACAGGCAGCGCAGAAGUGAGGGUGAUACACUUCUGUGCUGAGCAGCCACAGAGCUGGGCUCCAGGCUGCUGCUCCCCAUGGCUCUUGCUGGAGCUCGGGGCACCUGGGCUUGGGUCUGUCACUCCCCACGGCUCCUGCUAUGUCUCAGGGCAUCCUGAGAGAUUAAAUUGUGUUUAUUAGUUUUCUACCACUUUGGUACAGCACUGCAGCUAUAUCUUUGGAGGUAUUUGAAUGAUCUUAGUAGCUGUUAAGAAGCAUAGGUAGUUAAGGUUAUUUUUGUAGUGCAAUUUGGGAUCUCAAAUUAGGAUUUAAUCCAUUUUUAAAAAUGCAAUAAACUCCAAAAUAAAUUUUAAAACAGUUAAGAUCCUUUGGCAUUUCUGUUUUUGAGUACUUCAGUCAUUUGUGUACAAGUUUUCAGUGUAAACGUAGAUGGUGAUUGAACAGAAGUAACUGGUCUGCAAGCAGUUCUGCUUAAAUAUGUGUAAUUGUAAAUGAUCUUCUUAAACAAACUUAUCAAAGCCCUGUUUUGUGUAGCUGAAGUGCACAUCAGAAAUGCACUGAACAAGAUACUCUUUGACACUUUCCCAGGCCCCUGAGUCCAUCUGCUUGCAGGAGGGCAGGAGACUGAAUAGUGAUAUGCAAGUAAUGUGUGUCACUCAGGAAACACAAAGUAUCAAAAUUAAUCUUUUGCUGCUUGGCAAAUGUCCAGCUCUUCCCUUUCUCUGUUCCCUCCUGCAGACAUGUCACCUGAUUAAUGGUGCAUGUAUGGUACUACAAAAUUAAAUUUAUCCAGAGUUACAUCUUACUCUGCUUGGUUGUGCAGGAGCAAGAGAAGCUCUUUUUUUUUUUUUUUUUUUUUAAGUGGACAGGAAACAAAAACUUUGAGAAUUAGCCCUAAUGCAAACCCAAAUAGCUGCUGUCUGACUAGUUAGUAGUAGAUAUGCAAUCCGUUUUUUAAAACUAUUUUAAAGUUUUAUGCUUGUACAAGUAUUCCUGGGGCCAACCAACAAUCCUUGCUUUUGAAUUCUAAAUAAAACAUUGGAAUAUUAAUAAACUGUCCAAUUUAACUAUUGUUUAUAGUUCAAUAUUAAAAAGUCUUUAAUGUCCAGUAACUUGUGCCUUUUAGCUGCAUCGUAGUAGACAUUAUUCAGUUUGCAUGCUUUUAAACUCAGAUUGUAUUUCAGGUAGUAAAUUAAGUCUGCAGAGAAUAUUUUUAUACUAUUUCAAUUCACUUCAGUUACAUUUGCAAUGUGCUUGUAUUAAAACAUUUCCAAAUUAAUUGACUAAUAUCAGUUUAGCUAGCUAGUCUUGCUGUU